rnacentral:misc_RNA from 1 species
AACGCACCUUGCGCCCCUUGGCAUUCCGAGGGGCACACCCGUUUGAGUGUCGUGAAAUCUUCAAAAUCCCUCUCUUUUGAGGAUUUUUGGACUUGGAGGUUCAAUGCUCGCUUUUGCCUUUUAGAAAGCGAGCUCCUCUCAAAUGAAUCAGUGGGGUCUGCUUUGCCGGUCCUUGACGUGAUAAGGUCUUUCUACGUUUUGGAUUCGACAUCGUCCCGCUUCCAAUCGUCCCACGGACAAAAGGAUGGUGCUCCGGUCGCGGCCGGACCCACCAAAAAAAACCUUGACCUCAAAUCGGGUGAGACUACCCGCUGAACUUAA